rnacentral:rRNA from 1 species
UACAGAGGGUGCGAGCGUUAAUCGGAAUUACUGGGCGUAAAGCGCGCGUAGGCGGCUUUGCAAGUCGGGUGUGAAAUCCCCAGGCUUAACCUGGGAACUGCAUUCGAGACUGCAUUGCUAGAGUAUGGGAGAGGGAAGUGGAAUUUCCGGUGUAGCGGUGAGAUGCGUAGAUAUCGGAAGGAACAUCAGUGGCGAAAGCGACUUCCUGGACCAAUACUGACGCUCAUGUGCGAAAGCGUGGGGAGCAAACAGG